rnacentral:rRNA from 1 species
UAGUCCACGCCGUAAACGAUGAGUGUUAGAUGUCCGAGGUGAACUUGGGUGUCCCAAGCUAACGCGAUAAACACUCCGCCUGGGGAGUACGUACGCAAGUAUGAAACUCAAAGGAAUUGACGGGGACCCGCACAAGCAGCGGAGCAUGUGGUUUAAUUCGACGCAACGCGAAGAACCUUACCAAGUCUUGACAUAACUUUGAAGAUCUUUAGAGAUAAGGAUUGAUUGACUUCGGUCAACAAAGCUAC